rnacentral:rRNA from 1 species
UACGGGGGGAGCAAGCGUUGUUCGGAUUUACUGGGCGUAAAGGGCGCGUAGGCGGCCACCGCAAGUCGACUGUGAAAUCUCCGGGCUUAACCCGGAAAGGUCAGCCGAUACUGCGGGGCUAGAGUGCAGAAGGGGCAACUGGAAUUCUCGGUGUAGCGGUGAAAUGCGUAGAUAUCAGGAGGAACACCAAUGGCGAAGGCAGCUCGCUGGAACGGUACUGACGCUGAGGCGCGAAAGCGUGGGGAGCAAACAGG